rnacentral:ncRNA from 1 species
CGCAUCCCUGGAGAGCGACCCCCUUGAAGUCGAGUGUAAGGGGGAACACCGAAGGGGUAACUUGCGCUCCCUUCCCGGGGCUGCAGGGAAUCUCUCAGGUAAAAGGACAGGGUGG